GGGCAUAGCUGAAUUGGUCAGCCUGCUGGCUAUCCCUUAUCUGCACCACCAGGGCUUGUUCUCCAGCAUUUCUCUGGCUAGGCCACCCAGUGCCACUGUCAUCAAGAGGAAGGAUCAGCCCUCCUGCUGUCAUGCCCUUGGGACUGACUCACCCCACACCACACCUCCAGGGCCAGCUCCACUGUGCUGCCCAGGCAAGGCAUGGGCCCAUGAAUGACUAUUCUUUAGACUCAUGAAAAAUUUGAUAUAAUCUAAUCACGUUUUACCUUAUUGUGACAAUCUAGUAUGAAUGGUUCUUUACUUAUCAACUGCCUCUUAUAUCAUUCAAUAAACUUAGAGAAACCAGGUGGCAUAUACAGUAAGAUACUUUCUAAUGGAGUACUAAUUACACAUAGGUAGGUAGGAAAAGGGGAACUGAUGGGAAAUUUUGAGUUAUUCAAAAAGGUACCAUUUGGCUAUCUUUAGACCCAGUGAACAAAAGAAGAAAGUGAUGGCCUAGGAGGACUGUCCCAUAGAAGUGUAAGUCAUAGUGGCAUGUAGCUACUGCCAGAACUCCGACAAAUCAGGCAGGAAAAAAAAAAAAGAGGAAUACAUAGCCCAAUCUCUCUUCUCCCUCUUAUCUUAUCUCUAUUGGCCAAACUCAGCUGAAGCUACAGGACACGGGGACUCUGCGGACUCUGGGGACUCUGGGUCAUAGAGAUCAACGUCCAAGGCAAAGAGGUCAUCUAGACUGGGAACAAAUAAUACUUGUAUUAUUUGUUAUUAUUGGGAACAAAUGAAGAACUUUGCAUCCCAUCUUCCCACUGCUACCCUUCUUAUCUGCCUUCUUCCCUCUCUCCUCCUUUUCUGUUCCUAGUUAGUUCAGGGGUGGAUAUGUGACCAAGGCAACUACAUUGGUGUAUUCUAAUAUCACAAAAUAUCAUGGGAUUUUGAUAGAAAUGCUAGUACAUAGACCAGUUUUCUCCUAGACUGAAAGAUCUUGAGGCUGACUGGCUCCAUAUUAGCUAUUUCCCCCAGGUGACUGUCUAAGCCAGGACUUCUCCAACUUUGCACCACUGACACUUUUGACAAGGUCGUUCUUUGGAGUCCAGUUCUGGAGAUGGGUUUUAAACUGUGGGGUAUUCAGCCACAACCCUGACCUCUUCAAGCUAGAUACCGUAUCACCCAGCUCUACUGAACUGUGAGAGUAGAACUGUCUCUUGCAUUCUCAGACACCCCCACUGGGGCGGAGUCUUAUUCCUGGUAAUAAAUAAACAAACAAAGCAAGCUUGGUGGUGCUGGUGGUGGCGGUGCACACCUUUAGUCCCAGCACUCUGGAGGCAAUUCCACCAACUUGGGACCAAAUGGUCAGAUAUAUGAGUCUAUGGGGGUCACUCUCAUUCACAUAACCACACUGCCACAUACCUUUGUUUUUCUAAACAAAGCAAAGAGACCGUGAUCGGACUGAUACAGACAGAAGAGGAACGGAGCCCUUGGCAUGAGAAAACAUCUCAGAGCAGACAAGACGAUAGUGAAAGGCCUGUCUACUCAACCCAAUCUGAACCUUGCACCAGUAUCAGGGAUGAAUGACCCCUACUGGGCUUCUUCUAUACGAGCCAACAAAGUGGAAUGAAGCGCUACUUAGUACCCUUCCUACUUUUCCC
rnacentral:lncRNA from 1 species